UCAUUUGGUUCCAAUUACCUUUUUGUUCAUUGUUUGCUCUGAGGCACCGUUGCCAAUAAAGGUUGGUGAAUUGAAGUACCGGUAGGCACUUUACACAUCCACUGAAGAAAAUAGUUCCAAAACAUAUUUGAAUAAGGAGGACAACGAAAUGUAUUUAUUUACAUUGAGAACUUUUGCUACAUCGGUUUUACAUUUGUUAAACCGAUGUAGCACUCUCAAAAAUUAAUCUUGUGUUUCUUGGAAAACGUAAAAUGACCCGCGGAUGGAUAUGCGGUUUCAAAAUCAAGCCUGUUCUCUUCAUCAGUCCGUUGGCGCGGAGUCUGCCUGUUGGCUGAUCUACGAAAGAAUCUCGAGGAUCUUUGUGAGGAGCCCGUGGAGCUUGGCACAGGUGGAGGAGCAGCAGAAUCUUCAGUCUACGCUAGAUUGACUGAAGAUUCUACUGGUGUAUGCUAGAUGGUUGCAUACACCGGUAGUCACUCUGGCCUCUCCUGUUGUGAACAGUUUUCUGAGAACGUUUCUGUGUCUACUAGAAGUCACCUGGUCUCUGUGUUUGUUCGAUCCUAGGGGUUUUGUCGCCUCAUUCGAGAACUCACCAGUGAAUACCUGCCUGUUCGCUCCGCCGAUUCCACUGCCUCCACUCCACCCUUCGAGCUUCCAGCUCUCUUCCAUUCCCACCUCGCAUUUACCUUCGGAACCGCUGCACACCCUCUCUCAGGAACCUGGCAUCUCACACCCACGCCUCGAAAGACCCGCACCGAAGUAAGCCUGUUCCUGUUUCCCCUCCGAUCACUCAUUCUAAGCCCGUCAUAACUAAGUUCUCGUUUCAGGCCAACCUGGUCGAGUGGUCCUCACCCUUCCGCUGAUGUCCGGGAAAUAGAUUUUAUUUUGUCCUGUUGUAAAUAAAUCACUCACUCAUCCCUAUCCAACGUGUGGUUACUGCAUGUGGGUCCGUAAAUUGAAACCCAUCAUGUCAAUCAGUGGCCAAGCCUGAAACAAAUAUUGAAAGAUGAAGAAAUUCUUUUUGAUAUUUUUGCAAUAUUUAGCUAGCAGUUAUGUGAAAUGUACUUAUAUUUAAUUGUAGCUCUAAUUUUUUAUAUGUGCAAUGUUUUAGGCUUUAUUAGUUACAUUUAUAGUGAUUUUCUAAACUUCUCUUAAGAGUAAUACUACUGUCUUAGUCCUGUCACGUUAACAAAGAAAUUAGGAUAAUUGCAAAACUGUUCAGUGUUUACAAUAUAAGGCUUCAGUAGUUAAUCCAUACAAAGGCUGUUUUGCCUUAAUUUUUUUAUUUUUUUGAAAAGUCUAAAUGUUAUAUUGCACUAAUAAAAUAUAUAUUUUUGCAGGCUUCAAGAGGAUCAGCGUGUGAAGAUCACUUUAUAAUGAUUUGAAAAAGGUUGCCAUGGCUACAGAAAUUGGAGGAGCAUCCUUAGAUGACACAAUACAACCAGCUGUGCGAUUCCUCAUGUCCCAUGAACUGGAAGUCCAGUUCAACCUUUUUGGCCAACAUUGGAAACAAGCUCUUGGACCUGCGUCUCUUUGAUGUUUUGUAUGGGGACUUAAAAGAAAUUAUCCAUCUACAGAAUCACACAAGCAUACAGCAAAGACUCUCGAAGUGGUUUACUGGAGCCCGAGUGGAAGUGGAAAUAGACUAGAGAGACUGCCAGUUCAAACUCAGGUUGGGGAGGUCUUUCAAGAUGGACAGUUUCAGUAAAGUAUGAGAGAUUUCAAAUUUAAGCAUGCAUAUGGCAUGUAGGUUAUUUUUAAAAAUGUUUAACAAAAAUGUAUUGUGAAAGAUCUAUAUAGGUGUGUAUAUUCACAUUGUGUGUAUCAAUGUGAAUAUACGUGUAUAAAGUUAUAUAGAUAGUAUUUAGAUGUAUACAUUUAUAGACCUGUAGGAAAAUAUGUAGGUGUCUUUAUUUGUGUGCAUCUAUAGAUAUAUAUUUAUAGAUCUGUUUAUAAGUUUGUUAUAGUAAACUAGCUUCUGUUAUUUUCAAAGAUGUCGUGAAUAAUUGCAGAUUUCUUUUUG